CAUGAUCCUUUCUGUUUUGUAAAUAAUUUGUGCCAUAUUUUAAACUCCACAUAUAAGUGAUAUCAUUGAUGUCUUUCUGACUUACUUCACUCAAUAUGAGAGUCUCUAGUUCAUCUAUAUUGCUGCAAAUGGCAUUAUUUUGUCCUUUUUAAUGGCUGGCUAGUGUUCCAUUGUAUAUAUGUGUACCACGUAUUCUUAAUCCAUUCAUCCAUCAAUGGGCAUUUAUGUUGUUACCAUGUCUUGGCUAUUGUGAAUAGUGCUGGGUUGAACGUACAGGUGCAUGUAUCUUUUUCAAAGAAUUUUUUUGUCUGGAUAUAUGCCAAGGGGUGGGAUAGCUGAGUCAUACGGUAGCUCUAUAUUUAGUUUUUCUGAGUUAUUGCCAUACUAUUUUCCAUAGUGAUUGUACCAAUUUAUAUUCCCACCAACAGUGUAGGAGGGUUCCCUUUUCUCCACAUCCUCUCCAGCAUAUGCUAUUUGUUGACUUGUUAAUGAUGGCCACUCCAACUGGUGUGAGGUGGCACCUCAUUGUUUUGAUUUGUAUUUCUCUAAUAAUUAGUCAUGUUGAGCAUUUUUUCAUGUGCCUGCUGGCUGCCUGUAUGUCUUCUUUGGUGAAAUUUCUAUUUAGGUAUUCUCCCCAUUUUUCAAUUGGGUUGUUGGGUUUUUUUUUGUUGUUGUUAUUGAGUUGUACGUGUUGUUUGUGUAUUUGGAGAUAAUACUUUGUCAUUUGAGUCAUUUGAAAAUUUUUCCCCCAUUCUGUGGGUUAUCUUUUCAUUUUUUAAAUGUUUUUCUUUGCUAUGCAGAAGCUUUUGAAUUUAAUUAGGUUUUUUUGGUUUAUUUGUCUUUAUUGUCUUUAUUCUACAAGGUGGAUCAAAAAAAGAUGUUUCUGUGAUUUAUAUCAAAGAGCAUUCUGCCUAUGUUUUCCUCUACGAAUUUUACAGUAUCUGGCCUUACAUUUAGGCCUUUAAUCCAUUUUGAGUUUAUUUUUGUAUGGCAUUAGACAAUGUCCUAACUUCAUCCUCUUACAUGCAGCUAUCCAGUUUUCCCAGCACCAUUUAUUGAACAGACUAUUUUUCCUCCACUGUAUAUUCUUGCCCCCUUUGUCAUAAAUUAAUUGACCAUAGGUGUUUGGGUUUAUUUUUGGACUUUCUAUCCUGUUCCAUUGAUCUAUGUUUCUGUUUUUGUGCCAGCACCAUACUGUUUUGAUGACUGUAGUUUAGCUUUGUAGUAAAGUCUGAAAUCUGAGAGCCUGAUUCCUCCAAUUCUAUUUUUUUUUCAAUACUUGAUGCUCUCCAUUGCAGUUGCCCUAUACUCUAGUCCUUCCAGGCUGUUUCCACACAACAAACCCCAUUUUUUUCCCCCCACAGCUCCUUCUUUGGGUUUGAUUUCUAAGGCCAAAGUUUUAGUUCCCAACACCUGCUGGCACUCGCCUAUGGUUGCCCAUUGCCUUGACAUUUAUGGAGGAUUGUCUCCUUCUUAACAGCUUCAGACCAUUUGUCUAGAGUUCCUCCUCCAUUUUUGGGUGGUAUCAUCACUGGUGGGGGAAGCUCCAAUGGUGCAGGAGCUAUUCCUCUUUCCAGCUCCCUCCUGGGAGAGCAGGUCCUGUCUCAUCUCCUUUUGCUUCUUUUUCUCUUGUUCUUCUUCUUUCUUAUGUCCUAUCUGGUUUUGUAAUGUUUUUAUUGUUCCGUAAUAAUCUUGAGGUCUUUUGACAGUUUUUUACAAAAUUUCUGUGUGAAUAGUUCCACAUAUAGUUGUAUUUUCAAUGUAUUUGUGGGAGCCUUACGUCCUGCUACUCUGCCAUCUUAGGCCUCCAUCCUCAAUGUUUUUUUUUAAAUGAGGGUGCACUAUAUAACCAUUUAAUGGUGUUUGAAGGGUGUAUUUAUUAACAUAGGAAAAUAUUUAUGGCAUUAACCAAAUAAAAAAUAUGUGGAUUAUAUCCUUUUUAAAAAAAAAAAAACAGACUUAUUACCAUAAACUAGAAUCUACUGCAAUCAAAAUCAUGUUAUCUUAUACUAAUUUUAAGUGACUUGUCAACUUUAAUUAAGUUUUCAUUUGUCCUUAGUAUUUCUACCUUUUCAUAAAAUACCAACUUUUGUAUGAUAACUUUUGAGGAUAAUUUUUGCCUAAAAAUAAGUGCUAUCUCUUUUGGAUAGAAGCUCAACAACUAAAUUAGGAAAAAUUUGUUGUAACUUGCUAAUGAAUUACUUAUUUCCACUGUGUCACCAGUAAUAUUGCUUCAUCUCUAUUAUUAUGAGAAUAAUUCUAUAGGGAAUACAUUUAUUAUGCCAUAAAUUUCAAUAUUAUUUCAGAAUGAAUAAUUUGAUUUUCAAACAAAGCUGAAAGCAAUAACAUUUUCUUUUGGAGGGAAUAAGGCACUGGGUAGAGGAAGAAACUCAACUUUUUUGAUUAAAGGUUAACAAAUUAUUUGCAGUCUCGAAAUAUGAUGUACACUGAAUGUCCUUAGAGGUUGUCAAGCAAAAUAACAACAAAAAAGUGACAGUGUGCUUCUUGCUGAUAUUGCCAGUGACUUGAUACCAUUUCAGCCAUCUAUGGUUUCUUAUCUCUUGGGGCAAUGUUAUGCUUCAGUUUAUACUGAAGAUCUCCAAAAGUUGACUUUCUUCAUGCUUCUAAGAGACUGUCGGGAGUUACCCGACUGAAAAAAAAUCACAAAAAUACUGUUUGUUCUUCCAAGAGUUGUUUUGGAAAUUCUCUGCUGUAUUGGAAAAACUAACCCAAGGGACAAAACUCUGUCAAGACACUAAUAUCAUAUUGGUGAUAUACAGAGCCCAAAUCAUUGAAUCCCAGCCACAUCUGCAAGAGUGGCCAGUGUAAUGAUUGAUGUGUGUAUCACACAGUGAUUUGGUGAUUUGGUGAUUUGGUGGCAACAGUCUAGAAGAGAGAGUGAAAAUAAAUGCACUGGAUAGCUUGAUUAUUUGAUCUAUGGUUAUAGAUAAAACAAACACUAAAUAUUUUUAUCAAAUUACUCAGACCAUUAUCAAUUCAUAAUUGCAUUAUCAAUUUAAUAACUAUGGAUAAAUAAUUUGAAAGAGAGGCCACUCCUGGCCUCUUGGCCUUUUUAGUUCAUUUGAUUUGUUUAAGCAGAGAUAUUACUCAAAUAGCAAGGUUUAAAACUUAAAUGCUAGUAUUGUUAGAAAAAGUAAUGAUUAAUGAUUAUAGUAAAGGAAUUCUACUUUUCAUGUGUAGAACAUUUUCACGUUACUUUUGCAUUACUACUCCCCAUAUGAUCUUUAUAGUAACUCUAUGAUGUAUGACAAGGUAUUAUUAUCCUUAUUUUACAGAUGAUUAAACUGAAGUCCAGUGAGAUAUUACAAAAUUCUCUGGGCAUAAAGAUUGGAAUACUAUUUAGACCAAUUAUAUGAAUUUUUGAAGGCUAUAUCCCAAUCUGCCCCUUCUUGACCUCUAAAAAGGCAAAAAUUCUGCUACAUCAGGUCACAUUAACUGAGAAAGAUAAAACACAAGAAAUACAAGCUAUACAAAUCAUCCCAAAAUAUAUGAUAUGUGUUUUAACCACCAAUUCAUGUUUAAUAAUCUCAUAGUAUUUGUUAGACUCAUUCUAUACAAUAGCAGUGCUCAAAGAUUACAUUAGGAGUUGUAUGAGCUUCUCCUAGGCAUCCUUUUCCAAUACAUAUAUGCCUCUGGUAUGGCAGAAUCUUUACUUUUUUUUCUUUUUAGAAAUGCAUCUGUGGCAUAUGAAAGUUCUGGGUUUAGGGAUCAAAUUGGAGCUGCAGCUGCCAGCCUGUGCCAUAGCCACAACAUCAAUGGAUCUCGCCCAUUAAAUUCAUAUUUCAUUGUACAUAAUUUUAUUAUACUGUGCAUGUAAUUUUUCUAACAUUUUCACUGUGAUAUAAUUUUAUAUCAUACAUAUUUCUUUUAAUUAUCAUAUAUAAUUUUUGCAAAAUAAUUUAUUUAAAAGAUGUACCUUAUUUAUUCAAUACUUACAUCAGUAUUAGCACUAUUAUUAUGUAUAUAUGCCACUUAUUUUUCCCUAUAUCACAUAUAAGUGACCCUGAUUUCAAGCUAUGUGAUUAUAAUCAAUUUAAGGGCUUAUGAGGAAUAGACAACCUGAUCAAAAAUAGACUGAAAUAUGGAAAAAAUAUAAAAGUAUUUGGCUUAAAUUAUUUAAAAGGAGUAUGAAGUUUAUGUAAUGACACUCUAGUCCCCAAAUUCAAAAAUAUGACUAAAUCUAUAAAGAUUUAUUUAGGAAAUUGUUUUGUUCCAAAUUGUAGAAAAAAUAUGGACUUAUAGCUUGCUGAAUUGAAUAUUACUUCAUUCAGGUCCACCCAUCAUAGAAAAAGGAAAUAGACUUUAAGAAAGAGAAAGAAACUGAUAAGAAAGGGAACCGAGAAACACUGGUGUAAACUCAAGAAAUUUGUGAAUAGUGUGAGGGAAACUCAAAUAUAAAAUUAUGAGCAUGAUGUAAAAUCUACAUGAAAGAAAAUAGAAGCACUGACAUGUUGAUCUUGAAUUUGCACAGCACAUUAUUCAUUCUCAAGUGAAGCACCCUUAAAUUUAAAAUCUCAAGUGGGUUUUUAAUACUUUGAGAGUUGAUACAAUAAUAAUGGAAUCUGAGAGGACAAGUGGCUCCUCUAACACAUCUAAAAGUGACUGGCCUAUAACUUGACUACUAUUUGUCUCCUUUCUCUUACAUUCUUCCUCCUUUGCUCUUAUUUCCAUUCUUCCUCUCUUAGUUCUAUUAUCUUAUCCCCAAGUGCCACUCAGUAGCAUUACAUCAGUUUCUCCAAGCUGGAGGUACAGCAAAGAACAAGGUAAGACUUCUGUGUCUGCUCUCAUGGAUCUUAUAUUAUAGCAGAAGAGACAUCUAAAACAAAUAACCAAACACAAUAAUGACACAGAAUAAUAAAGAAAAGGAUAUAGGGUUCUGUGGUAGUGACUGCCCAGUGUGUGUGUGUGUGUGUGUGUUGGGAAGGUUGUUGGUUCUGCUGUUGUGGAUGAAAUAAUCUGGGAAAGCUACUCAGAGUAAGUAAAAUAAAUGUUCUAACACAUGAAUAACACAACAUACUCAGUUACAGGAAGAUUCUAGGCAAAAUUUUUCAGAUCAAAAUACCUCAAGGAAUUCCUGCUGUGGCGCAGUGGAUUAAGAAUCCAACUGCAGUGGCUCAUAUUGCUGUGGAGGCACAGGUUCAAUUCCCAGCACUGCACAGCGGGUUAAAGGAUCCAGUGUGGCCAGAGCAUGUAGCACAGGCUGCAGCUGUGGUUCAGAUUCAAUCCCAGGCCAGGGAACUUCCAUAUGCCAGGGCUGUGGCCAUUUAAAAAAAACAAAAAA
rnacentral:lncRNA from 1 species